ACCCUUCCGUAGGGGAACCUGCGGAAGGAUCAUUACCUAGAGUUGCGGGCUUUGCCUGCUAUCUCUUACCCAUGUCUUUUGAGUACCUUCGUUUCCUCGGCGGGUUCGCCCGCCGAUUGGACAAUUUAAACCAUUUGCAGUUGCAAUCAGCGUCUGAAAAAACUUAAUAGUUACAACUUUCAACAACGGAUCUCUUGGUUCUGGCAUCGAUGAAGAACGCAGCGAAAUGCGAUAAGUAGUGUGAAUUGCAGAAUUCAGUGAAUCAUCGAAUCUUUGAACGCACAUUGCGCCCCUUGGUAUUCCAUGGGGCAUGCCUGUUCGAGCGUCAUUUGUACCUUCAAGCUCUGCUUGGUGUUGGGUGUUUGUCUCGCCUCUGCGCGCAGACUCGCCUCAAAACAAUUGGCAGCCGGCGUAUUGAUUUCGGAGCGCAGUACAUCUCGCGCUUUGCACUCAUAACGACGACGUCCAAAAGUACAUUUUUACACUCUUGACCUCGGAUCAGGAGGAUGACGUG
rnacentral:rRNA from 1 species